rnacentral:rRNA from 1 species
CACGUAGGGCGCAAGCGUUGUCCGGAAUUAUUGGGCGUAAAGAGCUCGUAGGUGGUUUGUUACGUCUGCUGUGAAAACCUAGGGCUUAACCCUGGGCUUGCAGUGGAUACGGGCAGACUAGAGGUAGGUAGGGGAGAAUGGAAUUCCUGGUGUAGCGGUGAAAUGCGCAGAUAUCAGGAGGAACACCGGUGGCGAAGGCGGUUCUCUGGGCCUGUACUGACGCUGAGGAACGAAAGCGUGGGGAGCGAACAGG